UAACCAUGAACUGGACCAAGCCCCUUGAGAAGUUAUUUCCAACUAUAAUUUCUAUGAUUGAUCCAUCCUCUGCAGCCAUGGGCUGUAAAAUCAUGGAGGGCUAUUACCCAGUGUAAAGGAAGAAUUCAGUUCUCAUCUUUCACAGUCAAGUUGAGUCUUCUGCAGGAGUAAUAUGCAUGUCUGUUCUUGCCUUGCAGUAAAUAAAACUCAAGCAUACCUGCUUUUAUGGAUUUUCUUUUCUUUCUUUCUUUCUUUCUUUCUUUUCUUUUUUUUUUUUUUUUUAAUUUUUUUAAUUUACAUUUUGGUCUCUUUAUAAAAGAAGACAAAGGAGGGUAAAACACCGGAGAGGAACAUUAGUGUUGCUAUUUUCAGAAAUGAACAUCUACAGAAAAAACAGAUGGAGUGGAAACCCACACUACACCAGAACCUUCUGCAGACUCCAUGUUCAUGCUCCUGGGCUUAUCUCUUGCUUUUGUGCAAAUUUGGAUGGUGACUAAGCAUACUUCCAGGAAAAGAAGAUGAUGUAUUGAAAUGGGCAUGAAUUUUUAUUUUCCUGGCAAGACUUGGUUAAAAAUACCAUGUCACUCAUCCCACUGGGAAAGAGCAUAUAUCCUUAAUUAGCCAGGAAAUAACAUCAGCAGUGUACCCAAAGCUACUUCUGGGAUAUCUCUUUCAAAAUUCUGACAUAACAUUUACAGGAGGAUUCCUGGAAUAACUCUCUCUUCUCUUCUCUUUCAGUGUUUCUGAAAUGGCCUCUAGAUAAUGUUCUGUUAUUUUUGUAUCUUACAAAAAUACAUCUUGAGAGUUUCUGAACAGACAUGAUAAAACACAUUAAGGGUUUAAUUUUACUGAAGAACGUGACAGUCGUUUCCUGUCAGCAAAGGAUCUUCAGCGCACUGCCAACAAAGCUAUUCCCUCAGCAGGAGAAAAAUGACCAGAAUUUCCAUGCCAAGGAGGAGAGACAGAUGGGCUGUGGGCUCCCUUCCAGUAGAGGAGACAUUGACUUUGGCUUCAAUAUCCUGAUUAGACUACAGUGAGCACUUGCUGAUGCUAGUUUCUCAGAUAUAAGUAAAGUAUUUAAUUUGGUUUUGUUGGUGUUUUUAUGUUUGUUUUAUAUUUUUGUUUGAUUAUUUGUUUUAUUUCUACAGCACUGAGCUCAGGUUUGCAUUGAAUUAUUUAUGAAGUCCACAAGAUCUCAUUCCUGACUCAUAAUAAACACCUCAGCACCUAC
rnacentral:lncRNA from 1 species